UGCCUAUGAAGCGGUUGCUAUGUUGGUGCGUUGCCGUGGAGGUACUAUUAGGGUUGUGUGGACUCCAAGUUCCAACUUAGGCUUAAUCAAAAGCCGAAAAUAAAAACACUCAAA
rnacentral:sRNA from 12 species